UACGAGAGGCCCAAACGUUAUUCGGAAUUACUGGGCUUAAAGAGUUCGUAGGCGGCAUGAAAAGCAGGGUGUGAAAGCCCUCGGCUCAACCGAGGAAUUGCGCUCUGAACUGUCGUGCUUGAGGAACCUAGAGGUGAGCAGAACUGAUGGUGGAGCGGUGAAAUGCGUUGAUAUCGAGAGGAACACCUGCGGCGAAGGCGGGUUGCUGGGCUGACACUGACGCUGAGGCGCGAAAGCCAGGGGAGCGAACGGG
rnacentral:rRNA from 1 species